CAGCGCUGGCUUUUGAGGACCGAAAUAGUAGCUGUUAGUUGGCGCGCACAGAGGACGCUCAUGUUUGUGAUCACCUUGCAAGGGACGCUAAAAGGGUGUCGGCGUACAAACUGCCUGGUGGCAAGCACGUCCUCAAAGGAAACCAUGGAUCCUCCAGUCUACUUGUGCUUUGUGGACUUGGAGAAGUCAUUUGACGGUGUCCCUCGGGAAGUCCUGUGGCGAGGGGUAUCUGACCGCCUGAUUGUUGGGGACCAUUCCCUGUAUGAUCGUGCCGGAGCUUAGUCUCCAUUGCCAGCGGGGCGCGCAUCUCAGGGUCCCAGCUGACCACCACCCCCACAUGGUGGCCCUUCCUCUCCAUCACCACCUCACCCACCCGCAGGAAGACAAAGGGCGGCCGUGGACUGCGCACCGCCUUGGAGGCUGAAUAAAAAGUGAACUUUA